rfam:Alligator sinensis unplaced genomic scaffold scaffold442_1, whole genome shotgun sequence
GGCCAUAUGGUUGAGCAGGCUAAAGUGCUUGUUUAUGAAACAGGAGAUCCUGGGUUAGAGUCCCAGAGAGGCCU